rnacentral:rRNA from 1 species
UACGUAGGGGGCAAGCGUUGUCCGGAAUUAUUGGGCGUAAAGAGCACGUAGGUGGCCAGUCAAGUCAGGUGUGAAAUCCUUGGGCUCAACCCGAGAACUGCACUUGAAACUGAUUGGCUUGAGUUCAGAAGAGGAGAGCGGAAUUCCUAGUGUAGCGGUGAAAUGCGCAGAUAUUAGGAGGAACACCAGUGGCGAAGGCGGCUCUCUGGUCUGUAACUGACACUGAGGUGCGAAAGCUAGGGGAG